UCUGUAGCAAGGUUAACCGAAUAGGGGAGCCGAAGGGAAACCGAGUCUUAACUGGGCGUUAAGUUGCAGGGUAUAGACCCGAAACCCGGUGAUCUAGCCAUGGGCAGGUUGAAGGUUGGGUAACACUAACUGGAGGACCGAACCGACUAAUGUUGAAAAAUUAGCGGAUGACUUGUGGCUGGGGGUGAAAGGCCAAUCAAACCGGGAGAUAGCUGGUUCUCCCCGAAAGCUAUUUAGGUAGCGCCUCGUGAAUUCAUCUCCGGGGGUAGAGCACUGUUUCGGCAAGGGGGUCAUCCCGACUUACCAACCCGAUGCAAACUGCGAAUACCGGAGAAUGUUAUCACGGGAGACACACGGCGGGUGCUAACGUCCGUCGUGAAGAGGGAAACAACCCAGACCGCCAGCUAAGGUCCCAAAGUCAUGGUUAAGUGGGAAACGAUGUGGGAAGGCCCAGACAGCCAGGAUGUUGGCUUAGAAGCAGCCAUCAUUUAAAGAAAGCGUAAUAGCUCACUGGUCGAGUCGGCCUGCGCGGAAGAUGUAACGGGGCUAAACCAUG
rnacentral:rRNA from 1 species